AACUUAAUUAUACAACAUGAGCUGAGAGGUUUUACACGAAUAUUGUCAUCUAGACAAUAUCCAAACUCAAAUAGAGUUCUCAUUACAUUUAUCGGCAUACUAUUUUAUAGAAUAGUGAGGACUACUAUAACACCAUCUCGGGCAAUCACUCCGUUCCCCGACUAGUUCCGGCUACGUUCUCAUUUCCUGAAGAGAACAAUGGAAGUAAAAGGGUGAGUUCAACUAGCCCGGUAAGAAAUAUUAUGACUAAGAUAGUGCAGAAUAAGUUAUCAUUAGCCUUCAACAAUGUUAAACUGAUAGAAUAUAAUAGACAACAAGUUUAACUGCAGUGGAACAAGCAAUCCAUUAGAAGAGUCAAGUAGAGCAUGAUAUCUACUAUCUUCUAUGAUUUAAAAAGUUUAUCAAUAACUUUAUUGCUGGGACUCAACUUAAUAAAUAGAUCACAUCAUCGAAUCAUCCCUUCACUACGAGCCAAGGAUAUUCAUUAGUAUCACGUCCACAAAUUAUUCUUGCACUACGGGCCAAGAAUUAUUCGUGUAAUCAUCAAUGGUCAUGACUAUACCGAAUUAUCCCUGGUCAUAAUCAUACCAAUCUACAGUCCAUCUAUUCACGUAAGCCAAAGAUGACUUUCAUCACAAUAUAAUCAUGAGGAUGAUGACAAUGAUAUAAGAAUUCAAUUAAAAGAAAGCAAAGGAUAAUUUUUUAAAGAUUUAUAAUUUAAUUUAUCCAAAAUUCAAUAAUGUCCAACUUUUCAACAUGAUACUGCUUUGGACAUAAAAAAAAUAAAUUUUUUGGUGAAUAGUACCUCAUGAAUAGUACUUCAGGAAUAGUACCCCGUGAAUAGUAUCCCGAUAUGAAAAGUGGCCCAAAUACCCGAGUGAACAAUAUUUGAGUGUAGUAAUUAGGUGAAUAGUAACCCGUGAAUAGUAACUCGUGAAUAGUACCCCGAUAUGAAAAGUGCCACGAAUACCCGAGUGAAUAAUAUUAUAGUGAAUAGUAACCAGGUGAAUAGUAACCCAUGAAUAGUAACUCAUGAAUAGUACUUCGAGUAAAAAUAUUGAUAUUUAAUAAAAAAGUUCAUAUCAAUAUUCCAAUAAAAUAAUAUUGGAUAAUGCGCAAAACUCACGGAUGUUCCACUAAUUUCAAGGAUUAUAGAAGCAAUACUUACCAUAGUAAGUUUAGAUUUAAGAAUAUGAAAAGAAUUAACAUACGAAAACUGCAAAUGGAUUUUCACCUAUCAUACGGUACGUAAUCCGCGUAGACAGGUUAUUCCGACAUACUAAAGGAUGAAUACGAAAAAUAGUAUUCCUUAUGAAUACGAAAGAAAUAAUACCAUUUACCUUAGUAGAAAGCUGGAUACUGCAAAAGUGAAGUAGGAGAAUACUCUUCUUCUUGCUCUCUAUAGUUUCUCUCUCUAUAGUGUCUCUUGUGAAUCUCAGUGAAUUGGUGAGAAUGAAAGAAGAAUUAAGCUUCUAUUUAUAGGAGAAUGGACUAAAUAGUAACUAAUUCACGAACGGUCCAGAUUGAUUCACUAUUAAAACGGACGGUCCAUAUUGAUUACUAUUAAAACCACAACCGACG
rnacentral:lncRNA from 1 species